GAUCAAGUGUCUGAAGGGCAUUUGGUGGAUGCCUUGGCAUUGAGAGGCGAUGAAGGACGUGACAGGCUGCGUUAAGCCUUGGGGAGCUGCCAGUAAGCUUUGAUCCGAGGAUUUCCGAAUGGGGCAACCCACCGCUUCGGCGGUACCGCAUUGUGAAUAUAUAGCUUUGCGGGGCAAACCCAGCGAACUGAAACAUCUCAGUAGCUGGAGGAAAGGACAUCAACCGAGACUCCGUUAGUAGUGGCGAGCGAACGCGGACCAGGCCAGUGGCUUGGAGAAAACAACCAGAACGGUCUGGAAAGGCCGGCCAUAGCGGGUGAUAGCCCCGUAUGGGUAGAGUUUUUUCUAAGUCCUUGAGUAAGGCGGGACACGAGAAAUCCUGUCUGAACGUGGGGGGACCACCCUCCAAGCCUAAGUACUCCUCAAUGACCGAUAGUGAACAAGUACCGUGAGGGAAAGGUGAAAAGCACCCCGAUAAGGGGAGUGAAAUAGACCCUGAAACCGAAUGCCUACAAGCAGUGGGAGCGAGGCUCUUCAAAUCGCUUUGCGAUUUGGCGAGCCUUUUUAUCUCUCGCGCUGGUCGCGCCCGAAGUGGGCGCGAUGAGCUCCGAGGGGGGGGCGGCUUGACCGGCCGGCGGCCUUUGGCCUUGCCUCGAUAACAAGCGUUGUUGUCGUGGAUGAGAGCUGAAUUUGGCCAUGAUACAGCAAGAGCGAUUUUGUUGUGUCGACAGCUGAAUGGAGCCGGGGUGCGGCGCAGUUGCACCAACGCGUGCGAAUUGCACGCCGCGCCUUUGGCGCACCCCCAGUGGAGGCGUUUUGCGUAGCAAAACUGCCGUGAACGAAAAGGGCGACGCAAAUUGUGAAGCAAUUUGAUGAGCCUCGUGACCGCGUACCUUUUGUAUAAUGGGUCAGCGACUUAGUGUUGCAAGCGAGCUUAAGCCGAGAGGCGUAUGCGCAGCGAAAGCGAGUCUUAAUAGGGCGUUUAGUUUGUGGCAUUAGACCCGAAACCGGGUGAUCUAGCCAUGGGCAGGUUGAAGGUGGGGUAACACCUACUGGAGGACCGAACCCACCUAUGUUGAAAAAUGGGGGGAUGACCUGUGGCUAGGGGUGAAAGGCCAAUCAAACCAGGAAAUAGCUGGUUCUCCGCGAAAACUAUUUCGGUAGUGCGUCGCGUAUUGCCGUCGGGGGUAGAGCACUGGAUGGGCUAGGGGGUCCCACAGACUUACCAAACCUAACCAAACUCCGAAUACCGGCGAGCAUCAGCGCGGCAGACAGACAGUGGGUGCUAAGGUCCAUUGUCGAAAGGGAAACAGCCCAGACCGCCAGCUAAGGUCCCUAAAUCGUGGCUAAGUGGGAAAGGAUGUGGGAAGGCCAAGACAACCAGGAGGUUGGCUUAGAAGCAGCCAUCCUUUAAAGAAAGCGUAACAGCUCACUGGUCUAGAUUAAGCCGUCCCGCGCCGAAGAUGUACCGGGGCUCAAGCCAUGCACCGAAGCUGCGGACCGUGCUUGCACGGUGGUAGCGGAGCGUUCCGUAAGCCUGCGAAGGUGUCCCGUGAGGGGCGCUGGAGGUAUCGGAAGUGAAAAUGCUGACAUGAGUAGCGAUAAAGAGGGUGAGAAACCCUCUCG
rnacentral:rRNA from 1 species